rnacentral:rRNA from 1 species
UCGAACGGGCUAGUGCUUCGCACUAGUCUCUUUCUGGGGUUGUUACUCUAAGGCUACCUGCUAAGGUUAUUGCUUUAAAGCAGGGGUUUUAGGAGACUUUCCCCGAAAGGGGCCAGUGCGGAGCACUGGCCAGUGGCGAACGGGUGAGUAACACGUGGGUAAUCUACCCUCGAGUGGGGGAAUAAGCUUCCGAAAAGGGGGUCUAAUGCCGCAUAACGUUUCAUAACGAUGGUUAUGAAACCAAAGCCCAAAAGGCGCUCGAGGAGGAGCCUGCGUCCUAUCAGCUUGUUGGCAGGGUAAUGGCCUACCAAGGCUAUGACGGGUAGCCGGCCUGAGAGGGUGUCCGGCCACACUGGAACUGAGACACGGUCCAGACUCCUACGGGAGGCAGCAGUGGGGAAUUUUGCGCAAUGGGGGAAACCCUGACGCAGCGACGCCGCGUGGAGGAUGACGGCCUUCGGGUUGUAAACUCCUGUCAGAAGGGACGAAAUCCCGCAAGGGACUGACGGUACCUUCAGAGGAAGCCCCGGCUAACUACGUG